GGUUAAGCGACUAAGCGUACACGGUGGAUGCCCUGGCAGUCAGAGGCGAUGAAGGACGUGCUAAUCUGCGAUAAGCGUCGGUAAGGUGAUAUGAACCGUUAUAACCGGCGAUUUCCGAAUGGGGAAACCCAGUGUGAUUCGUCACACUAUCAUUAACUGAAUCCAUAGGUUAAUGAGGCGAACCGGGGGAACUGAAACAUCUAAGUACCCCGAGGAAAAGAAAUCAACCGAGAUUCCCCCAGUAGCGGCGAGCGAACGGGGAGGAGCCCAGAGCCUGAAUCAGUGUGUGUGUUAGUGGAAGCGUCUGGAAAGGCGCGCGAUACAGGGUGACAGCCCCGUACACAAAAAUGCACAUGCUGUGAGCUCGAUGAGUAGGGCGGGACACGUGGUAUCCUGUCUGAAUAUGGGGGGACCAUCCUCCAAGGCUAAAUACUCCUGACUGACCGAUAGUGAACCAGUACCGUGAGGGAAAGGCGAAAAGAACCCCGGCGAGGGGAGUGAAAAAGAACCUGAAACCGUGUACGUACAAGCAGUGGGAGCACAGAGCAAUCUGUGUGACUGCGUACCUUUUGUAUAAUGGGUCAGCGACUUAUAUUCUGUAGCAAGGUUAACCGAAUAGGGGAGCCGAAGGGAAACCGAGUCUUAACUGGGCGUUAAGUUGCAGGGUAUAGACCCGAAACCCGGUGAUCUAGCCAUGGGCAGGUUGAAGGUUGGGUAACACUAACUGGAGGACCGAACCGACUAAUGUUGAAAAAUUAGCGGAUGACUUGUGGCUGGGGGUGAAAGGCCAAUCAAACCGGGAGAUAGCUGGUUCUCCCCGAAAGCUAUUUAGGUAGCGCCUCGUGAAUUCAUCUCCGGGGUAGAGCACUGUUUCGGCAAGGGGGUCAUCCCGACUUACCAACCCGAUGCAAACUGCGAAUACCGGAGAAUGUUAUCACGGGAGACACACGGCGGGUGCUAACGUCCGUCGUGAAGAGGGAAACAACCCAGACCGCCAGCUAAGGUCCCAAAGUCAUGGUUAAGUGGGAAACGAUGUGGGAAGGCCCAGACAGCCAGGAUGUUGGCUUAGAAGCAGCCAUCAUUUAAAGAAAGCGUAAUAGCUCACUGGUCGAGUCGGCCUGCGCGGAAGAUGUAACGGGGCUAAACCAUGCACCGAAGCUGCGGCAGCGACACUGUGUGUUGUUGGGUAGGGGAGCGUUCUGUAAGCCUGUGAAGGUGUGCUGUGAGGCAUGCUGGAGGUAUCAGAAGUGCGAAUGCUGACAUAAGUAACGAUAAAGCGGGUGAAAAGCCCGCUCGCCGGAAGACCAAGGGUUCCUGUCCAACGUUAAUCGGGGCAGGGUGAGUCGACCCCUAAGGCGAGGCCGAAAGGCGUAGUCGAUGGGAAACAGGUUAAUAUUCCUGUACUUGGUGUUACUGCGAAGGGGGGACGGAGAAGGCUAUGUUGGCCGGGCGACGGUUGUCCCGGUUUAAGCGUGUAGGCUGGUUUUCCAGGCAAAUCCGGAAAAUCAAGGCUGAGGCGUGAUGACGAGGCACUACGGUGCUGAAGCAACAAAUGCCCUGCUUCCAGGAAAAGCCUCUAAGCAUCAGGUAACAUCAAAUCGUACCCCAAACCGACACAGGUGGUCAGGUAGAGAAUACCAAGGCGCUUGAGAGAACUCGGGUGAAGGAACUAGGCAAAAUGGUGCCGUAACUUCGGGAGAAGGCACGCUGAUAUGUAGGUGAAGUCCCUCGCGGAUGGAGCUGAAAUCAGUCGAAGAUACCAGCUGGCUGCAACUGUUUAUUAAAAACACAGCACUGUGCAAACACGAAAGUGGACGUAUACGGUGUGACGCCUGCCCGGUGCCGGAAGGUUAAUUGAUGGGGUCAGCGCAAGCGAAGCUCUUGAUCGAAGCCCCGGUAAACGGCGGCCGUAACUAUAACGGUCCUAAGGUAGCGAAAUUCCUUGUCGGGUAAGUUCCGACCUGCACGAAUGGCGUAAUGAUGGCCAGGCUGUCUCCACCCGAGACUCAGUGAAAUUGAACUCGCUGUGAAGAUGCAGUGUACCCGCGGCAAGACGGAAAGACCCCGUGAACCUUUACUAUAGCUUGACACUGAACAUUGAGCCUUGAUGUGUAGGAUAGGUGGGAGGCUUUGAAGUGUGGACGCCAGUCUGCAUGGAGCCGACCUUGAAAUACCACCCUUUAAUGUUUGAUGUUCUAACGUGGACCCGUGAUCCGGGUUGCGGACAGUGUCUGGUGGGUAGUUUGACUGGGGCGGUCUCCUCCUAAAGAGUAACGGAGGAGCACGAAGGUUGGCUAAUCCUGGUCGGACAUCAGGAGGUUAGUGCAAUGGCAUAAGCCAGCUUGACUGCGAGCGUGACGGCGCGAGCAGGUGCGAAAGCAGGUCAUAGUGAUCCGGUGGUUCUGAAUGGAAGGGCCAUCGCUCAACGGAUAAAAGGUACUCCGGGGAUAACAGGCUGAUACCGCCCAAGAGUUCAUAUCGACGGCGGUGUUUGGCACCUCGAUGUCGGCUCAUCACAUCCUGGGGCUGAAGUAGGUCCCAAGGGUAUGGCUGUUCGCCAUUUAAAGUGGUACGCGAGCUGGGUUUAGAACGUCGUGAGACAGUUCGGUCCCUAUCUGCCGUGGGCGCUGGAGAACUGAGGGGGGCUGCUCCUAGUACGAGAGGACCGGAGUGGACGCAUCACUGGUGUUCGGGUUGUCAUGCCAAUGGCACUGCCCGGUAGCUAAAUGCGGAAGAGAUAAGUGCUGAAAGCAUCUAAGCACGAAACUUGCCCCGAGAUGAGUUCUCCCUGACCCUUUAAGGGUCCUGAAGGAACGUUGAAGACGACGACGUUGAUAGGCCGGGUGUGUAAGCGCAGCGAUGCGUUGAGCUAACCGGUACUAAUGAACCGUGAGGCUUAACCUU
rnacentral:rRNA from 1 species